AGGCAAAAAUUGCCGAACCACGUAAAUCUUGUCUUGUCUUGUCUUGUGCAAUUUAUUGUUUCUCUCCUAAAUAUCCUUUUCCUUCUAUUAUCUUGACACACUUCCUCAACACUGCCAUAGUUCAUUUUUCACAUCUUUAAACUUCAUGGGAAAGAAUUUCAACACUGCCGGAAUUUUAUUCCACGGUUGGAACAAACUGCAGGUAUAACAGCAGACUGGAUAAAAGUAUAUAUUAGUGAACAUUAGUGUGUGUACUCAAUCGGGAACAGUGCCAUUUUAUACUUAAUUAACUCAUUGAUUAGUUAAAUGAAAAACAUUAGUGUGUAUACAACAAUCAGUUAAGAUGGUGCAAGUGGUAUGUUCCAAUGCUAUCUCACAGUGCCAAAUAUCCAGUACUUCUCUUCCACCUUCCCCUUUUAAGCUAUCUGUGUUCUUGAGUUGAUAACCAGAGAAUACUUUUGCAGUCAUGCUUUGUGUCAUGGUAACCGUAUAUCAUGACUAAAUAAUGUUGUUUUCUUUCUGGCUGUUCUUUGAUUUUCUUCAACCUACUAGCUUAUCCAUCCACAGGAAACAUUUAUUUGGAGAAGUGUGUUGAACCUGAACUGAGAAAAGCCGCGGAAUGUUUUACACUGGCUGGAUGCUAUGAGAAGGCAGCAGAAAUUUACGCAAAAGGUAGUUAUAUCUCAGAGUGCUUGUCAGUUUGCACCAAAGCAAAAUGUUUUGACUUGGGUUUGAAAUAUGUCGAGCAACAUGCUGCUCAGGGUAAUAUUGUGGGGAAAGAAGGUAAUGUAAUUGAAAAAAUUAAGGAGUUCCUGGAGAAUUGUGCAACUGAUUAUUUUAACCUCAACGACAGAGGAUCCAUGAUGAAAUUUGUUAAAGCAUUCCCUUCAGUGGACAUGAAACGCAUUUGAAGUCUGUGAAGUGCCUUCAUGAGCUGCUCUUUUUAGAAGAAGAAUUAGGAAACUUCACCAUAGCUGCAGAUAUAAGGAAUUUCUUAAAUGAGUCGAAAAACCUUGACUCUAGGAGAUACUUUGAGAAAGUUUUCCCCCUCGACCCCCGGGAGUCGUUGCUCGAGAAGAAAAUGGUUUCUCUAAGGAGAAGCGAGUUUUCCUUUGACUUACUCCAGGAAUUCAUCCGAGAAGAUAUAGGGAAAAGAGGUCGGUUGAGCUAUGGACAAAUUGGGAGGAUCGUGAUGAUAUGGCUUGCCUCGAGAAAACCUUCGGAAGAUCUGUACAAGAACAUUGUUGGAAGAAUUCCAACAGCACCAUGGAAGUCAUUAUUGGAAAUUCUUAGCUCCGCAGAAGGAUGUCAAAGUGGACCGGUGGAGAUUAAAUUAGUUAAGACAUUUCAUGAAGCUUUACAAGAGACCUUUGCUGCGUGUUUGACCGGACAGGAGGACCCUAUAUCCCCCGCUUGUUUAUUGUAUCUGAUCGAGCGGUUUUUGAUUUUGGUGACGCAAUUAUGUAGGCAAGGAACCUUUUUUACUUCAAGAUCCUCAUUCAUGGAAUGGCUUGUUUCUGAGCAAUUUGUUGCUGUACCCACUUCACCGCUUGCAAAAGACAUGAGCCUGUUGGAAAAAAUUUACGAUUCUAUCCUUGUGAUGGUGAAAGUAUUCAUUUAUGAUAAAUCUACCACUUUUGAUUGGAUUUCACGAUCCAAAAUAAAGGAUGGUGUUGCAUACUAUAAGAUUUUAGUUUGGAGAUCGGUUUCCCUCUUGAUCUUAAUGGUUUUGAAUGUUGGUGCUGCGAAGUACCAUGCUGAAUUGGCCAAUGUGCUAGGUAAUGAUGACAGCUGGAAUCACAUUAGAGGGGACUUGCUGGAAUCCCUUGUCACUCUUAAGAGUAGCCUUGCCAAUGUUGGUGAAAUCUCACUCGAUGCGAUGGGACAAACUUUUCGAAUUGCAAAAGAUGCUCUUUUCUUUGUCAACCGGCAAGGGACUGCUGCUCCGAAGUAUGCUAAUAAUAUCACGUGGGUGCAAUUGGGAACAAACCGCCAGAGGGAAGCGAUUAUAGAGAUCGCGUCAGUAACCGGGUCAGACAAGAAAGUACAAAUGAAUUGGGCAGUCUUUCAGGAAUAUCUGAUCUUUUGAAGCAAAAUGAUGGAACUUCUGCUAAUACCUUGAUGAAGGGGGGAAUAAAUGCAAACAUAAAAUUCUUGACUGCUGCAAUUACUCUGCUCGGGGAGAAGAAACCUUACGCUGGUGAGGCGAUGAUUAAGGAAGUGCACAGUAUGCUUCAGGAACUGAAACAGCUGCAUUCAUUGUUGGAUACAAGUGAUUCAGAAACAACAAGCAUUGAAGGACUGUUGAAGAGCUUGUUGUCAAGAAAGCCCAAGCUAGAAUCUUUGUUGAAUCAGUGCAUUGUACCCAAGGGUAGCAGUGAGGAAAAAGUCGAUGCAUUGAGUGGUGAACUCGAGAAAAUGGAAAUGACAUCUGCCUCUACCGAGUCCGGAAGCAGUAACCAGGGUGCUAAAAAGACACAGCAGAAAGGGAAGGGCAAUUCCAAAAACUCUAAGAAGGGUAAAAAGAAGUAAAUCAACAUGGCAACAAUUAUAUAUUGAUAGGAUAAGCUGAGAGCUCUCAUACCUAGUACUCCCUUUUUAAGGUUUAAGUGAACUCUUUUAUGGGCUUAUCUGUUGCUGUAGGUUAAAAGACAUUUUAAGCCGACAAAUCAUCUAUACUAUAUUAAAAGCACGAAUGCCCUUAGCGAAAUGUCGUUCGC